rnacentral:rRNA from 1 species
AUUGAACGCUGGCGGCAGGCCUAACACAUGCAAGUCGAGCGAGCGGCGGACGGGUGAGUAAUGUAUGGGAACUGCCCGAUGGAGGGGGAUAACUACUGGAAACGGUGGCUAAUACCGCAUACUAUCGGAUAACCCAUAUGGGAUUAGCUAGUAGGUGGGGUAAAGGCUCACCUAGGCGACGAUCUCUAGCUGGUCUGAGAGGAUGAGCAGCCAAACUGGGACUGAGAAACGGCCCAGACCCCUACGGAGGCAGCAGUGGGGAAGAUUGCACAAGGGGCGCAAGCCUGAGGCAGCCAUGCCGCGUGUAUGAAGAAGGCCUUAGGGUUGAAAAGUACUUUCAGCGGGAAGGCGUUACCCGCAGAAGAAGAACCGGCUACCUCGGUGCCAGAAGCCGCGGUAAUA